UUGUGAUCAGCCAGUUCAAAUCUCAAUCAAACUUGAGAGUUUGAUCCUGGCUCAGAACGAACGCUGGCGGCAGGCUUAACACAUGCAAGUCGAACGGACGUAGCAAUACGUUAGUGGCAGACGGGUGAGGAACACGUGGGAAUAUCCCCUUCAGUUCGGAAUAACUCAGGGAAACUUGAGCUAAUACCGGAUACGUCAGAGAUGAGAAAGAUUUAUCGCUGAAGGAUUAGCCCGCGUCUGAUUAGCUAGUUGGUGAGGUAAUGGCUCACCAAGGCGACGAUCAGUAGCUGGUCUGAGAGGAUGAUCAGCCACAUUGGGACUGAGACACGGCCCAAACUCCUACGGGAGGCAGCAGUGGGGAAUAUUGGACAAUGGGCGCAAGCCUGAUCCAGCCAUGCCGCGUGAGUGAUGAAGGCCUUCGGGUUGUAAAGCUCUUUUGUCCGGGA
rnacentral:rRNA from 1 species